AGUGAACGCUGGCGGUAGGCCUAACACAUGCAAGUCGAACGGCAGCACAGUAAGAGCUUGCUCUUACGGGUGGCGAGUGGCGGACGGGUGAGGAAUACAUCGGAAUCUACUUUUUCGUGGGGGAUAACGUAGGGAAACUUACUCUAAUACCGCAUACGACCUACGGGUGAAAGCAGGGGAUCUUCUGACCUUGCGCGAUUGAAUGAGCCGAUGUCGGAUUAGCUAGUUGGGCGGGUAAAUGCCCACCAAGGCGACGAUCCGUAGCUGGUCUGAGAGGAUGAUCAGCCACACUGGAACUGAGACACGGUCCAGACUCCUACGGGAGGGAGCAGUGGGGAAUAUUGGACAAUGGGCGCAAGCCUGAUCCAGCCAUACCGCGUGGGUGAAGACGGCCUUCGGGUUGUAAAGCCCUUUUGUUGGGAAAGAAAAGCAGCAGGUUAAUACCACGCUGUUCUGACGGUACCCAAAGAAUAAGCACCGGCUAACUUCGUG
rnacentral:rRNA from 1 species